ACUGAGAGAGGAGUACUCCUAGAGUCCUCAAUCUGCUGGGAUAUAGUGUGAAGAACUUGAUUGGUAUAAUUGUUUUGCUCAAUUAUCCUAUCAAUAUCUUUACAUUGAGGCGUCAUUGCGCCUCGCUCAGAUUUAGUCUUAAAGGGAGAGGCCUUUAUGACUUCGUUAGCGUAAGAAAUGUUAAGUCCUUCAAGAGGAGGCGUUGUGGAUUCUACCACUGUGUUCCUUUGGGUGUACCAUUUUGUAACGAUAACGUUGAGGGAUUCAGUUUGGUUUUCUAUUCUUCCAGUCUUUUCAAACCAGAAGAAGAAUUCCAAAUCGCAUCGGAGUCUCUUCAUGUCGGCUAUCCAUAGUCGACCAAACUCCU
rnacentral:lncRNA from 1 species